GAGAAACAAAGAAAGAAAGAAAAUUUUCACAUUUCAAUAUUCAAAAUUCACAGAUAUGACCAGAAAUGGGGCAGCUUCAAUAUUUUAAAUCAAAUUCCACUUUAAACAACUUGUUGAUAAAGAAACGUACUUGGGUGUAUUGGGUUAGACAUUUAUUUAGAAGCAAUAUCCAUUGAACUUAACAUUACUUUAUUCUUAUGAAAAAGCAUUUUUUGUUUCAACAUGAUCUCCUUUUGGUCAUUUCAAAUUG
rnacentral:misc_RNA from 1 species